rnacentral:tRNA from 1 species
UAAAUUUUAACAAAUUUUUUAGA